GAUGAACGCUGACAGAAUGCUUAACACAUGCAAGUCAACUUGAACUUCGGUUUGGGUGGCGGACGGGUGAGUAACGCGUAAAGAACUUGCCUCACAGAUAGGGACAACAUUUGGAAACGAAUGCUAAUACCUGAUAUUAUGAUUAUAUGGCAUCGUAUAAUUAUGAAAGCUAUAUGCGCUGUGAGAGAGCUUUGCGUCCCAUUAGCUAGUUGGAGAGGUAACGGCUCACCAAGGCGAUGAUGGGUAGCCGGCCUGAGAGGGUGAUCGGCCACAAGGGGACUGAGACACGGCCCUUACUCCUACGGGAGGCAGCAGUGAGGAAUAUUGGACAAUGGACCAAGAGUCUGAUCCAGCAAUUCUGUGUGCACGAUGAAGUUUUUCGGAAUGUAAAGUGCUUUCAGUUGGGAAGAAAAAAAUGACGGUACCGACAGAAGAAGUGACGGCUAAAUACGUGCCAGCAGCCGCCGUAACAC
rnacentral:rRNA from 1 species